CUGCCAUUAGAUGUGGUACUCUUUUGUUUGGUGGGAAGACCAGCCCAUAUAUCAAUAGAUCUUUGCACUUUUGUUGUUUGCUUUCUUAGUACUUUUUCAUCCUUUACGUGCCUGUUAACCUGAUAAACCAGUUCCUGCUGCUGUCACAUAAAGGCUGUGCGUUGUUCAGCUGUGCGUGUCAUUUUAAUCACUAGUCUUGCAUGUUGACAGUGGUUGCUCUUAAUUUUUAGCGCUUUCACUAAAACAUGAACAUCAAACUUGUGAACAGCUUCAUGUGAGCACACUGAAGAGAACUGCCAGACAUCAAGAACAACAGCCUGUUGCAAAAACCAUCAAACUGCUUGGAUUAAGAAGCAAAUCAUGCUGAGAGAAGAUCACAAACGAAGAACAUCAUCUCAGAUUUUGUCAGCUUGAGUCACCUUCAGAAAGAACAUCAGUCUUUCAAAGUUGCCAUGACAAAUUACGCUGUUUGGAAUCAGCUGUCGCUCUUAAUGCAGCAUCACAAUCGCUGCUGCAUUUAUUCACAUGGAAAGAAUGCUCAAACAGUGAAGGUAUCUGA
ensembl:lncRNA